rnacentral:rRNA from 1 species
AUUGAACGCUGGCGGCAGGCCUAACACAUGCAAGUCGAACGGUAACAGGAAACAGCUUGCUGUUUCGCUGACGAGUGGCGGACGGGUGAGUAAUGUCUGGGAAACUGCCUGAUGGAGGGGGAUAACUACUGGAAACGGUAGCUAAUACCGCAUAACGUCGCAAGACCAAAGAGGGGGACCCUCGGGCCUCUUGCCAUCGGAUUUGCCCAGAUGGGAUUAGCUUGUUGGUGGGGUAACGGCUCACCAAGGCGACGAUCCCUAGCUGGUCUGAGAGGUUGACCAGCCACACUGGAACUGAGACACGGUCCAGACUCCUACGGGAGGCAGCAGUGGGGAAUAUUGCACAAUGGGCGCAAGCCUGAUGCAGCCAUGCCGCGUGUAUGAAGAAGGCCUUCGGGUUGUAAAGUACUUUCAGCGGGGAGGAAGGGAGUAAAGUUAAUACCGUUGCUAAUUGACGUUACCCGCAGAAGAAGCACCGGCUAACUCCGUG